GAUGAACGCUGGCGGCGUGCCUAAUACAUGCAAGUCGAGCGAACGGACGAGAAGCUUGCUUCUCUGAUGUUAGCGGCGGACGGGUGAGUAACACGUGGAUAACCUACCUAUAAGACUGGGAUAACUUCGGGAAACCGUAGCUAAUACCGGAUAAUAUUUUGAACCGCAUGGUUCAAAAGUGAAAGACGGUCUUGCUGUCACUUAUAGAUGGAUCCGCGCUGCAUUAGCUAGUUGGUAAGGUAACGGCUUACCAAGGCAACGAUGCAUAGCCGACCUGAGAGGGUGAUCGGCCACACUGGAACUGAGACACGGUCCAGACUCCUACGGGAGGCAGCAGUAGGGAAUCUUCCGCAAUGGGCGAAAGCCUGACGGAGCAACGCCGCGUGAGUGAUGAAGGUCUUCGGAUCGUAAAACUCUGCUAUUAGGGAAGAACAUAUGUGUAAGUAACUGUGCACAUCUUGACGGUACCCAAUCAGAAAGCCACGGCUAACUACGUG
rnacentral:rRNA from 1 species